CAGUGUGUGGUAAAGUGCUUACAGUGCAGGUAGUGUGUGUGAGUUCUACCGCAGUGUGGGCACUUCUGUCACGCGCCG
rnacentral:pre_miRNA from 1 species